rnacentral:rRNA from 1 species
UCUACGGGAGGCAGCAGUGGGGAAUAUUGGGCAAUGGGCGAAAGCCUGACCCAGCAACGCCGCGUGAAGGAAGAAGGUUUUCGGAUUGUAAACUUCUUUUAUGAGGGACGAAGGACGUGACGGUACCUCAUGAAUAAGCCACGGCUAACUACGUGCCAGCAGCCGCGGUAAUA